UACGGGGGGGGCAAGCGUUGUUCGGAAUUACUGGGCGUAAAGGGCGCGUAGGCGGUUCGCUAAGUUGAAUGUGAAAACUCUGGGCUUAACCCAGAGCCUGCAUUCAAUACUGGCGGGCUAGAGUUCUGGAGGGGAUAGCGGAAUUCCUGGUGUAGCGGUGAAAUGCGUAGAUAUCAGGAGGAACACCCGUGGCGAAGGCGGCCCUCUGGCUCGACCCUGACGCUGAGGCGCGAAAGCGUGGGGAGCGAACGGG
rnacentral:rRNA from 1 species